rnacentral:rRNA from 1 species
GACGAACGCUGGCGGCGUGCCUAAUACAUGCAAGUCGAACGGUCUUUUCUAUGGAAGCUUGCUUCCACUGAGAAGAUAGUGGCGAACGGGUGAGUAACACGUGGGUAACCUGCCCAUAAGAGGGGGAUAACAUCCGGAAACGGGUGCUAAUACCGCAUAGGUUUCUUGGUCGCAUGAUCGAGAAAGGAAAGACGGCCUUUGUGCUGUCGCUUAUGGAUGGACGCGCGGCGUAUUAGUUAGUUGGUGAGGUAACGGCUCACCAAGACGAUGAUACGUAGCCGACCUGAGAGGGUGAUCGGCCACAUUGGGACUGAGACACGGCCCAAACUCCUACGGGAGGCAGCAGUAGGGAAUCUUCCGCAAUGGACGAAAGUCUGACGGAGCAACGCCGCGUGAGUGAAGAAGGUUUUCGGAUCGUAAAACUCUGUUGUCAGAGAAGAACAAGUCGGAGAGUAACUGCUCCGACCUUGACGGUAUCUGACCAGAAAGCCACGGCUAACUACGUGCCAGCCGCCGCGGUAAUAC